UGUAAACGCUCGCAGAUUGAAUGAUGAAAUAAAAGAAGAAACUACAGCACAGUCAGUUUUCUCCAUGACAGCCUGAGAGAUGUAGCUGGUGCUGCCACUUUUCCUUCAUUUUUCCCUGCCUUGAAUAUGGUGGUGAUGCCUGGAGCUUCAGCAGCCAUCUUAUGGCCAUGAAAUGGCAAGCAUGAGAAUGAAAGAAAAUGCACUCAUCAUGACAGGAGGAAGAGCAGAAGAAAUCUGGGUCACUGGUGAUAUCAAUGGAUAGCUGAAGCAAUGCUGCUCUGGAUGGAAAAUGCCCUGGGUUCUCCGAGACUUAACACCCCGCCUUGUGAACGCGAGCAAGAUUAUUCUCUCUGAGCAGCUCUUUUCACAUGUGAUAAUCUUGGCAAGUUGCCCUGGAUUGAAUUCUCACCCACUGUCUUCACCCAACCCAGCAGAGAAGAAGGCUUGUGACUGUGUAAGGUGAAAAUGGACAUACCAUUUCUGGGAAGAGAAAAGAAGCCAAUUAAAAGUGGGGCAUGUCAUUACACUGACCAGAAAUGAACAUGCCUUUUUAAAAAUAAAGAAUCUGUAUAUUCCUGUGGCUCUGA
rnacentral:lncRNA from 1 species